AUGAUACAACAAAAUUUCAUGCCCCCGAAAGCUGACGCGAUACUGAAUAUACCCAUUACAUCGGGUGCAGGUGAGGAUACUUUGGCUCGGGCUUUUGAGAAGACCGGGACAUAUACUGUGAAAUCGGCGUAUCGUUCUCUAGUGACUCGGAACGAGCACAUUGCUCUAGAGGAAGGGACGUGUACGGAAUCUUCAGUGACUGAAAAACAGAUGUGGUCUCGUUUGUGGAAACUCAAAGUAAUUCCCAAGGUACAAGUGUUUGGUGGCGAGUGCUACGAGGUAUUCUUCCCGUUGAAUCCUUGCUCAAAUAUCAUCACGUUUCAACUGACAGUACAUGCAAGAUUUGCAUGA
rnacentral:rRNA from 1 species